rnacentral:rRNA from 1 species
AACUGUGAGACAGGUGCUGCAUGGCUGUCGUCAGCUCGUGCUGUGAAGUGUCGGGUUAAGUCCCUUAACGAGCGCAACCCCUAUCGUUAGUUACUAACGCGUUAUGGCGAGGACUCUAGCGAGACUGCCGGUGUCAAACCGGAGGAAGGUGGGGAUGACGUCAAGUCCUCAUGGCCCUUACACGCUGGGCUACACACGUGCUACAAUGGCGGUGACAGUGGGCAGCUACUUCGCGAGAAGAUGCUAAUCUCUAAAAACCGUCUCAGUUCGGAUUGUUCUCUGCAACUCGAGAGCAUGAAGGCGGAAUCGCUAGUAAUCGCGGAUCAGCAUGCCGCGGUGAAUACGUUCCCAGGCCUUGUACACACCGCCCGUCACACCAUGGGAGUGGGUUGCUCCAGAAGUAGAUAGUCUAACCCUCGGGAGGACGUUUACCACGGAGUGAUUCAUGACUGGGGUGAAGUCGUAACAAGGUAGCCGUAGGGGAAC